ACGUAAUAGAUACCCCGGUAGUCCACGCCCUAAACGAUGUCUACUAGUUGUUGGUGGAGUAAAAUCCAUGAGUAAACGCAGCUAAACGCGUGAAGUAGACCGCCUGGGGAGUACGGUCGCAAGAUUAAAACUCAAAGGAAUUGACGGGGGCCCGCGCAAGCGGUGGAUUAUGUGGAUUAAUUCGAUGCAACGCGAAAAACCUUACCUGGCCUUGACAUGCCACUAACGAAGCAGAGAUGCAUUAGGUGCCCGUAAGGGAAAGUGGACACAGGUGCUGCAUGGCUGUCGUCAGCUCGUGUCGUGAGAUGUUGGGUUAAGUCCCGCAACGAGCGCAACCCUUGCCAUUAAUUGCCAUCAUUUAGUUGGGCACUUUAAUGGGACUGCCGGUGACAAACCGGAGGAAGGUGGGGAUGACGUCAAGUCCUCAUGGCCCUUAUGGCCAGGGCUUCACACGUAAUACAAUGGUCGGUACAGAGAGUUGCCAACCCGCGAGGGGGAGCUAAUCUCAGAAAGCCGAUCGUAGUCCGGAUUGUUCU
rnacentral:rRNA from 1 species